rnacentral:rRNA from 1 species
GAAACGGCUACCACUUCCAAGGAAGGCAGCAGGCGCGCAAAUUACCCAAUCCCGACACGGGGAGGUAGUGACAAUAAAUAACAAUACGGGGCUCUUUCGGGUCUCGUAAUUGGAAUGAGUACAAUUUAAAUCCCUUAACGAGGAACAAUUGGAGGGCAAGUCUGGUGCCAGCAGCCGCGGUAAUUCCAGCUCCAAUAGCGUAUAUUAAAGUUGUUGCAGUUAAAAAGCUCGUAGUUGAAUUUCGGGAUUGACGUGAUGGUCGUGCCUUAAGGGGUAUGAACUGUCGCAGUUGAUUUCUCACCUUCUGGAGAAGCAUGAUGUCCUUAAUUGGGUGUCAUGUGGAACCAGGACCUUUACCUUGAAAAAAUUAGAGUGUUUAAAGCAGGCAUUUUGCUCGAAUACAUUAGCAUGGAAUAAUAGAAUAGGACGGCAUGGUUCUAUUUUGUUGGUUUCUAGGAUCACCGUAAUGAUUAAUAGGGAUAGUUGGGGGCAUUAGUAUUCAAUUGUCAGAGGUGAAAUUCUUGGAUUUAUUGAAGACUAACUACUGCGAAAGCAUUUGCCAAGGAUGUUUUCAUUAAUCAAGAACGAAAGUUAGGGGAUCGAAGACG